UACGUAGGGGGCAAGCGUUGUCCGGAAUCAUUGGGCGUAAAGAGCGUGUAGGCGGCCCGGUAAGUCCGCUGUGAAAGUCCAGGGCUCAACCCUGGGAUGCCGGUGGAUACUGUCGGGCUCGAGUCCGGAAGAGGAGUGUGGAAUUCCUGGUGUAGCGGUGAAAUGCGCAGAUAUCAGGAGGAACACCGGUGGUGUAAACGGCUUUCUGGACCGUAACUGACGCUGAGGCACGAAAGCGUGGGUAGCAAACAGG
rnacentral:rRNA from 1 species